GCAAAAUCUCACUGACAAUUUCAAUCAUCAAUUUUCCGAUAGUCUGAUAGUGGCAAAAUUGAUGUCAUCGGAAAGCUUGCGACACGUAUGUUCUAAUAUAGUCUCUGAUCAUCUAAAGCUCUACAACAUUGGUCAGAAAAUUCUAGAAACCCAAAAUAGCCCCACUUUCUCUCUCUUCAAUUUCUCCCUCCACAAUUCAUGAAAAUCAUCAAACUUGGUGGCUCAGAAGAUAAGGAACCAUUGACACAAAAAUUGCUGCAAUUGGAGGUCGAGAUCACCAUCAGCUAAGGCCAAAAGUUUCGGCCUUUAUUCUUUUGCUCAGUGUCAACAUUACUGCCACCAUUUUUGCCAACUAAUGCCGCCACUUUGCUUGCCAUCCUACUCUCCAUGUGUGUGUGUGCAGACACAGAGAAGGACUCAUCCAAAUCCCAGUGACUCAAAUAAAUCCAAGCAAAAGCACAAAAUGCAGCAGCAAUAUACAACAACAUGAGAGUGUUUCCAUGUAAGGCAGACCCCUAGCCAUGCCCUGUCUCUUGCAAAAGGUAGUAAUAAACUGUGCUUUCGAGGUGACAAAUGGGUCCCUCUUCUAGCAUUCAUUCUCUUUUUUUAUAAAAUUUUUAGGGGUCAUGGUCAUGGGUUUUGUCACCUACCAAUUAUUUGACAAAAUUAGACUAUCCUCAGCCUGCGAAACAACCCCCCUGUUCCUCCUUAUCUUUGGUGUCCUUAUUAGUUGUCCUCAUAACCCUCACUAUUUGAUUCCCGCACUACAGUUGCCAUAUAUGAUAUAGGCCAAUGGUGUGUAUUUUAUAGGACCCCAAUUUGGGGUUUUAUGUGCACAGCACCUUUGUUAAUUGAACUCGGAAUAAUUUUAACUUUUAA